GAUGAACGCUGGCGGCGUGCCUAAUACAUGCAAGUCGAGCGAACGGACGAGAAGCUUGCUUCUCUGAUGUUAGCGGCGGACGGGUGAGUAACACGUGGAUAACCUACCUAUAAGACUGGGAUAACUUCGGGAAACCGUAGCUAAUACCGGAUAAUAUUUUGAACCGCAUGGUUCAAAAGUGAAAGACGGUCUUGCUGUCACUUAUAGAUGCUUCCGCGCUGCAUUAGCUAGUUGGUAAGGUAACGGCUUACCAAGGCAACGAUGCAUAGCCGACCUGAGAGGGUGAUCGGCCACACUAGAACUGAGACACGGUCCAGACUCCUACGGGAGGCAGCAGUAGGGAAUCUUCCGCAAUGGGCGAAAGCCUGACGGAGCAACGCCGCGUGAGUGAUGAAGGUCUUCGGAUCGUAAAACUCUGUUAUUAGGGAAGAACAUAUGUGUAAGUAACUGUGCACAUCUUGACGGUACCUAAUCAGAAAGCCGCGGCUAACUACGUG
rnacentral:rRNA from 1 species